CCUACGGGUGGCAGCAGUGGGGAAUAUUGCACAAUGGGCGCAAGCCUGAUGCAGCCAUGCCGUGUGUGUGAAGAAGGCCUUCGGGUUGUAAAGCACUUUCAGCGGGGAGGAAGGCGUUAAGGUUAAUAACCUUGUCGAUUGACGUUACCCGCAGAAGAAGCACCGGCUAACUCCGUGCCAGCAGCCGCGGUAAUACGGAGGGUGCAAGCGUUAAUCGGAAUUACUGGGCGUAAAGCGCACGCAGGCGGUCUGUCAAGUCGGAUGUGAAAUCCCCAGGCUCAACCUGGGAACUGCAUUCGAAACUGGCAGGCUAGAGUCUUGUAGAGGGGGGUAGAAUUCCAGGUGUAGCGGUGAAAUGCGUAGAGAUCUGGAGGAAUACCGGUGGCGAAGGCGGCCCCCUGGACAAAGACUGACGCUCAGGUGCGAAAGCGUGGGGAGCAAACAGGAUUAGAUACCCGAGUAGUC
rnacentral:rRNA from 1 species